CAGCCCGGUCUGAGGGAGGAGGCGAGGCGGCACCCCGGCAUUUUGGCAUCAGUAUAUAGCAUUUUGAAUGAAAUUUUUGGGAACUGGACAGAUUAUAUCUAUAACAUGUGAAGAGCACCAGCCAUAACGAAGUCUCAUAUAGAAAUCUCUGAACUGCUUUUAGAAGAGGGUAAAGCUUGUAGAGGCCUGGAAAGCUCAGAUGUGGAUAACGUGUCUGCUCAGCAUGUCCCUGGGCUGGACAGUCAACUUCAGUACUUCUGAAGAU